AUGAUAGAACUAACACAGCUUAAGUAUCUACCGUUUUUAGGGUUAAUUUCACUGACCUCCCCUGAUGUUUCUGACUAAUACAGAGACCUGCUCUGAGGUUUCUGAAAUGACACUGAGCUCCUUUACUUUAUCUGACAAUUGACAAACUCCCCCUUCUGUGGUGCUGCCAUGAAAUGGCUUCGAUGGAAUCAUGUGACCUCAGGAAAUUUAGUAUGUCCAAAUUACCCACCACAUGGCUUCAUUAAUGUCACAUCAAUACCAAAUAACAGCCAUCACCAACCACACAAACUCUCACUAAUUUAUGUUCGUAUAAUCGUAUCACAACUCACACAUAUCUAGACUUAAAUAAUCAGAUACACAAAUAGCCACAUACUAAUAUCAAAGGAGAAGCCUAUGGUACACAUCCCAUUUAAUUUUGGUGACAAGAAUUUUGGUUAUAAUUUAUAAAAUAAUGUGUAACCAACACCAAAAAAAUGUGCAAGUUUUUUGUUGCUCGGCCCAAUAAAUGUAUAACUAAUAUAUCAAAAAGAUAUGUGUAGCUACUAACUAACCUAAAAGAUAUGUAACUAUUUUGGGUUACCCUACACCUCUAUUCGUACACACAAACAUGUGUACCAGGCAUGGAAAAAAUGCGUGCUAUUUGUACCAUAUAUACUUCCAUGGUAUGCUCCUUUGCAAAACACACACUCAAAAAAACAUGUAACAUUUAUAUGUUACACCUUGCUUUCUCCUAAUAUUGUUACUACGUUAGGCUCCAUAAUAAUCAAUCCAUGGAGACCUGAACAGAUCAACCCCUGCAAGCAUUUUUUAUUUUUUUUUGUACUUUUCCCACUGGUGGACAAUUCCAAUUUUAAGAUUGGAAUUCCCAACUGUGUUCUAUUAGAAUAAGGUAUGCGUCAAAUACUGCUCCGAAUCCAAACUCAGUCGUUGCGGAAAUCUGAUGGCAUUAUCGGAAAAUAUUCAUUAUACAGAAAUAAAUGGAAAGUGUAAUAUAAAAAACAAACUAUAUGAAAAAUUUAUCUUGAUUGCGAGGUUACGAAUACCCAUAUAACUUAAUUUGUUACACAACUAUAGUGUUCAGGGUGCAUUUCCCCUGAACUAAAUGGACUAUAGGCUAACGGCAAUAGUCAAGUUGUUUCUGUUAAAUGAUAUUUUAGUUGCUUAGCAAAAUAAUGAUAUUUUAGUUUAUGUAUGUGAGGAGAAUGACUUGCCUAGAAAUUCGUUAAAACAUGGGCUGUCUAUUUAGUUUACUGAAAACGCACCCUCAGUGAAUUAAAAAAUUGAAAAGAUCUCAAUGGAGCGUACCAAGAUGCACUACACUCCGUAGUGCGUUAGUGCACUACAAGAACCCCUUGUCCAAUCAUCCUCAAAAAUUUUCUUUUUGUAAGACCAAAUUGAGAUGUGAAGUGUGUGAUUGUGGUAAUGCUCGUGGGCUAUAAUUCAAACCAAACAGUUUUUUUUUUAAAUUAUAUUUACCCUUAGUGAACUUUAAAAAGUUUUUAGUGGUAAUUUUUAACUUUUCUUUCUCACCAAAACGAAUCAAUAAACCUCAUAACCAAACCAAACCAAACCAAACCGAGUUUUAUGUCCCAAUCACUUGGGGUCGGCUAAAAUCAAUAAACCCCAUAUAUUUAACAAUGUUCUAAAAGUUGCUAGGCGCUAGUCGGGCAAUCAGCCACCUUCGAGCUUUGAGGUCUAGUAAUCAGCAAUUAGUCGGCGCAUACCAAUUAAUAAUUGGCGAUUAAUCAGCUCAUAGCAAUUAGUCAGAUCUAGUAGAAUAGACCCCGCCAACAAUUAAUUGCCGAUUAAUUUUGAUUUUUAGAACACUAAUAUUUAAUGCAAAACUAUCAUUCACAAAAGACGAAAUUUAGAAAAGUAAUCAAAUAAUAAAUCACUGUGCUUCUCUCUUUAAUGUGUUUUGCAUCCAAUAUGUUUUUGUUGUCUUUAACUUUUUCAAUUCUUGAGCUCUAAGAAAAAUACAAGAGACUACAUCAAAAUGAUUAAAAUAUAUAAAAGAUUCACCAAAAACAGAAUCAGCCAAUUGAGAAAAGUAAAAAAGAAAAGAAAAAGGAACGCUCAAACAAAAUCUUACUUGCCCUUCCAAAAAAAUCUUAGACAUGAGAAAACUACGAGGUCCGAAUUACGUACCUGUUUUUUGGUCUUUACUUUGAGGGCACUCUAGUCAUUUUGCCACGAUAUUUAACACCGUUUGUGAGACAUUUAAUAGAAUGGGGAAUCUCAUUAAUGAGCGAAAUGAUGCAAGAAGUGUUUUUAAUCCUUGGCUUCAUCUUCUUCUUUUAACCCUUGUUCAAAAACCUGACCAGCCACCUCUUCCUAUCCUUCCAAAAUCAGCCGCCACUUGAAUGCCCCCUGCCACCACACUUCUUUGCCACCACAUUUGCCAGUUCCUUAUUUUCCGUUUCUUUAUUGGAUGCUUUGGAAAGGUUGUUUGCACACAGCUCCUCUUCCUUUGCAAUUUUCCAUCAUUGAUAAAAACCAUUCAAGGGUCCGCUUAAAAAAAAUCAGUUCUUAGAAAGUUGAGAUCUCCCAUUCUCCCCAUCAUUUUGGACUCAGGAGCCAGAUCUAGGGUUUGAGAUCUGGGUCUUUGGAACCAGCUCAGCAGCGACGGUGGCGGCGUCAGCCAGCAGCUUCGGCCUUCAGCCUAUGGCGGGAAUGAGCUCAAGUUGGUGCGGCGGGUCUAUCUUGAGAGUUGCUCUACCCUUACUUGGCCUCUCCACUUGUUCACUCCAUCCAUCCUCACGAGUGUGAUCGAUGGGUCCAGCUCUGGCGUUUUGGUUCCAGGCGACUUUUUUGUUUUUGUUUUCUGUAUUUUUUUUGUAUUUUGGACCUGUAGUGUCCUUUUUAUUUUUUAUAUAUCGAGUUUAUGUUUGGUCCAAAAAAAAAUAAAAAAUCUACUCUUCAUCUUCAAAACACCAACUAUAAAAUUAUGCUGUAAUGUUACCAUAUUCAUUUCUGAUUCGCACAAAGCAAGAAAAUUAUUCUGUAGAGUUACAUAUAUGCAAACUGCAAAGGAGC